GAUGAACGCUGGCGGCGUGCCUAAUACAUGCCAGUCGAGCGAAACUUCUUUAUCACCGAGUGCUUGCACUCACCGAUAAAGAGUUGAGUGGCGAACGGGUGAGUAACACGUGGGCAACCUGCCCAAAAGAGGGGGAUAACACUUGGAAACAGGUGCUAAUACCGCAUAACCAUAGUUACCGCAUGGUAACUAUGUAAAAGGUGGCUAUACUACCGCUUUUGGAUGGGCCCGCGGCGCAUUAGCUAGUUGGUAGGGUAAAGGCUUACCAAGGCAAUGAUGCGUAGCCGAAUUGAGAGGUUGAUCGGCCACAUUGGGACUGAGACACGGCCCAAACUCCUACGGGAGGCAGCAGUAGGGAAUCUUCCACAAUGGGCGAAAGCCUGAUGGAGCAACGCCGCGUGGGUGAAGAAGGUCUUCGGAUCGUAAAACCCUGUUGUUAGAGAAGAAAGUGCGUGAGAGUAACUGUUCACGUUUCGACGGUAUCUAACCAGAAAGCCACGGCUAACUACGUG
rnacentral:rRNA from 1 species